GACGAACGCUGGCGGCGUGCUUAACACAUGCAAGUCGAACGGUGAACCGGGCUUCGGCCCGGGGAUCAGUGGCGAACGGGUGCGUAACACGUGGGCAACCUGCCCCAGACUCUGGGAUAACUCCGGGAAACCGGGGCUAAUACCGGAUACUCCGAUCGGACGACAUCGUCUGGCCGGGAAAGCUCCGACGGUCUGGGAUGGGCCCGCGGCCUAUCAGCUUGUUGGCGAGGUAACGGCUCACCAAGGCGA
rnacentral:rRNA from 1 species